rnacentral:rRNA from 1 species
GAUUUCUGGCUUGGUGCGCGCCGUCCGCUUCCGUUAGGGAGUGUGUGCGGUUGUGCGCCUGCCAUCUUUUUAGACAUUAUGCUGUGCCCUUCACUGGGUGGCAGGUAGUGGCUGAAUCUUUUACUUUGAAAAAAUUAGAGUGUUCAAAGCAGGCUUGCGCUAUGAAUACAUUAGCAUGGAAUAAUAAUUUAGGACUCCCGUUCUAUUUUGUUGGUUUCUAGGAUGGAAGUAAUGAUUGAUAGGGAUAGUUGGGGGUGCUAGUAUUCAGAGGCCAGAGGUGAAAUUCUUGGAUUCUCUGAAGACUAACUUAUGCGAAAGCAUU